rnacentral:rRNA from 1 species
AGCCCAGAGCCUGAAUCAGUGUGUGUGUUAGUGGAAGCGUCUGGAAAGGCGCGCGAUACAGGGUGACAGCCCCGUACACAAAAAUGCACAUGCUGUGAGCUCGAUGAGUAGGGCGGGACACGUGGUAUCCUGUCUGAAUAUGGGGGGACCAUCCUCCAAGGCUAAAUACUCCUGACUGACCGAUAGUGAACCAGUACCGUGAGGGAAAGGCGAAAAGAACCCCGGCGAGGGGAGUGAAAAAGAACCUGAAACCGUGUACGUACAAGCAGUGGGAGCACAGAGCAAUCUGUGUGACUGCGUACCUUUUGUAUAAUGGGUCAGCGACUUAUAUUCUGUAGCAAGGUUAACCGAAUAGGGGAGCCGAAGGGAAACCGAGUCUUAACCGGGCGUUAAGUUGCAGGGUAUAGACCCGAAACCCGGUGAUCUAGCCAUGGGCAGGUUGAAGGUUGGGUAACACUAACUGGAGGACCGAACCGACUAAUGUUGAAAAAUUAGCGGAUGACUUGUGGCUGGGGGUGAAAGGCCAAUCAAACCGGGAGAUAGCUGGUUCUCCCCGAAAGCUAUUUAGGUAGCGCCUCGUGAAUUCAUCUCCGGGGGUAGAGCACUGUUUCGGCAAGGGGGUCAUCCCGACUUACCAACCCGAUGCAAACUGCGAAUACCGGAGAAUGUUAUCACGGGAGACACACGGCGGGUGCUAACGUCCGUCGUGAAGAGGGAAACAACCCAGACCGCCAGCUAAGGUCCCAAAGUCAUGGUUAAGUGGGAAACGAUGUGGGAAGGCCCAGACAGCCAGGAUGUUGGCUUAGAAGCAGCCAUCAUUUAAAGAAAGCGUAAUAGCUCACUGGUCGAGUCGGCCUGCGCGGAAGAUGUAACGGGGCUAAACCAUGCACCGAAGCUGCGGCAGCGACACUGUGUGUUGUUGGGUAGGGGAGCGUUCUGUAAGCCUGUGAAGGUGUACUGUGAGGUAUGCUGGAGGUAUCAGAAGUGCGAAUGCUGACAUAAGUAACGAUAAAGCGGGUGAAAAGCCCGCUCGCCGGAAGACCAAGGGUUCCUGUCCAACGUUAAUCGGGGCAGGGUGAGUCGACCCCUAAGGCGAGGCCGAAAGGCGUAGUCGAUGGGAAACAGGUUAAUAUUCCUGUACUUGGUGUUACUGCGAAGGGGGGACGGAGAAGGCUAUGUUGGCCGGGCGACGGUUGUCCCGGUUUAAGCGUGUAGGCUGGUUUUCCAGGCAAAUCCGGAAAAUCAAGGCUGAGGCGUGAUGACGAGGCACUACGGUGCUGAAGCAACAAAUGCCCUGCUUCCAGGAAAAGCCUCUAAGCAUCAGGUAACAUCAAAUCGUACCCCAAACCGACACAGGUGGUCAGGUAGAGAAUACCAAGGCGCUUGAGAGAACUCGGGUGAAGGAACUAGGCAAAAUGGUGCCGUAACUUCGGGAGAAGGCACGCUGAUAUGUAGGUGAAGUCCCUCGCGGAUGGAGCUGAAAUCAGUCGAAGAUACCAGCUGGCUGCAACUGUUUAUUAAAAACACAGCACUGUGCAAACACGAAAGUGGACGUAUACGGUGUGACGCCUGCCCGGUGCCGGAAGGUUAAUUGAUGGGGUCAGCGCAAGCGAAGCUCUUGAUCGAAGCCCCGGUAAACGGCGGCCGUAACUAUAACGGUCCUAAGGUAGCGAAAUUCCUUGUCGGGUAAGUUCCGACCUGCACGAAUGGCGUAAUGAUGGCCAGGCUGUCUCCACCCGAGACUCAGUGAAAUUGAACUCGCUGUGAAGAUGCAGUGUACCCGCGGCAAGACGGAAAGACCCCGUGAACCUUUACUAUAGCUUGACACUGAACAUUGAGCCUUGAUGUGUAGGAUAGGUGGGAGGCUUUGAAGUGUGGACGCCAGUCUGCAUGGAGCCGACCUUGAAAUACCACCCUUUAAUGUUUGAUGUUCUAACGUGGACCCGUGAUCCGGGUUGCGGACAGUGUCUGGUGGGUAGUUUGACUGGGGCGGUCUCCUCCUAAAGAGUAACGGAGGAGCACGAAGGUUGGCUAAUCCUGGUCGGACAUCAGGAGGUUAGUGCAAUGGCAUAAGCCAGCUUGACUGCGAGCGUGACGGCGCGAGCAGGUGCGAAAGCAGGUCAUAGUGAUCCGGUGGUUCUGAAUGGAAGGGCCAUCGCUCAACGGAUAAAAGGUACUCCGGGGAUAACAGGCUGAUACCGCCCAAGAGUUCAUAUCGACGGCGGUGUUUGGCACCUCGAUGUCGGCUCAUCACAUCCUGGGGCUGAAGUAGGUCCCAAGGGUAUGGCUGUUCGCCAUUUAAAGUGGUACGCGAGCUGGGUUUAGAACGUCGUGAGACAGUUCGGUCCCUAUCUGCCGUGGGCGCUGGAGAACUGAGGGGGGCUGCUCCUAGUACGAGAGGACCGGAGUGGACGCAUCACUGGUGUUCGGGUUGUCAUGCCAAUGGCACUGCCCGGUAGCUAAAUGCGGAAGAGAUAAGUGCUGAAAGCAUCUAAGCACGAAACUUGCCCCGAGAUGAGUUCUCCCUGACCCUUUAAGGGUCCUGAAGGAACGUUGAAGACGACGACGUUGAUAGGCCGGGUGUGUAAGCGCAGCGAUGCGUUGAGCUAACCGGUACUAAUGAACCGUGAGGCUUAACCUUACAACGCCGAAGGUGUUU